AGUCAAGCUACGAAGAGUUCAUGGUGGAUGUUCUGGCGCCGGAAGGCGAUGAAGGACGUAGGACGGCUGCGAUAAGCUCCGGGGAGCCGCCAACCAGGCGAAGAUCCGGAGAUCUCCGAAAUGCGGAAACGCCUUGGAUCAAGCUCCAAGAUCCCAUACUGAACACAUAGGUAUGGGAAGCGAACGCAGGGAACUGAAACAUCUCAGUACCUGCAGGAAAAGAAAGAAAACUCGACUGCCUGAGUAGCGGCGAGCGAAAGGGCACAAGCCUAAACCGAAUCCGUGUAAGCGACUGGCGUUGCGGAAGCGGUGUAGUGGGAAUUGCGAGGCGAAGCAGUCAUUCGCCAGAGAGUGAGCAAGGUUUUGGUUAGUGGAAUGGAUUGGAAAGUCCAGCCAAAGAAGGUGAAAGCCCUGUAGACGGCAACCAAGACCCUCUCCGCAGUAUCCCGAGUACCGCCGGUCACGUGGAACCCGGCGUGAAUCUGGGGGGCCCACCCCCUAAGGCUAAGUACAAUCCGGCGACCGAUAGCGUAGUAGUAGCGUGAGCGAAAAAUGAAAAGAACCCCAGCGAGGGGAGUGAAACAGGCCCUGAAACCAUGAACUUACAAGCAGUCGGAGGCCUAUGCCCGCAAGGGAAUGGCUGACGGCGUACCUUUUGCAUAAUGGACCGGCGAGUUACUCUACAGAGCGAGGUUAAGGGCCGAAAGGUCCGAAGCCGAAGGGAAACCGAGUGCGAAAUGCGCGUCCAGUUCUGUGGGGUAGACCCGAAUGCAGGUGAUCUAACCAUGAGCAGGUUGAAGCGGAUGUAACAGUCCGUGGAGGACCGAACUCAUUAGCGUUGAAAAGCUACGAGAUGACUUGUGGUUAGGAGUAAAAGUCUAACCAAACCUGCGGAUAGCUGGUUCUCCCCGAAAUAGCUUUCGGGCUAGCGUUGUGCGGUGCGAAACGGGGGUAGAGCUACUGAAUGGGCUUGGGGGCUUACCCAGCUACCCUGCCUAAUCAAACUCCGAAUACCGUUUUUGCCAGCAUGGCAGUCAGUCGACCGGGGAUAAGCUUGGUCGACAAGAGGGAAACAGCCCAGAUCGCCGGCUAAGGUCCCAAAGACGAACUCAGUGGUCAAAGGAAGUGGAAGUGCUAAGACAGCCAGGAUGUUGGCUUAGAAGCAGCCAUCAUUUAAAAAGUGCGUAACAGCUUACUGGUCGAGCAUUUCUGCGCCGAAAAUGGACGGGACUAAGUUCGACACCGAAGCCGCGGACAGACGAGACCCGCGUGGUCUUGUCUUUGGUAGGGGAGCGUUCCACAGCAGGAUGAAGGGAGACCGUAAGGACUCCUGGACGAAGUGGAAGUGAUAAUGCCGGUACGAGUAGCGAUAAAGUCAGUGAGAAUCUGAUUCGCCGUAAACCUAAGGUUUCCUGGGGAAGGUAAUUCCGCCCAGGGUUAGUCGGACCCUAAGACGAGGCUGAAAGGCGUAGUCGAUGGAAGACGGGUUAAUAUUCCCGUACCGCUUGAGGCGUUUGAACGAUGGAGGGACGGAGUCUGGAUCGUUGGCACCCGGCUAGAAGUGGGUGUUCAAGCUUGCGGGGUGGCCGUAGUGAAAUGCGCGGCCGUCAACCUCGGGAGUGAUGACGAGGGCCUUGAGCCCGAAGCAAUGUGAUGGGCUUCCAAGAAAAUCUCCUAGUGAGCUGAAAAGCGUCCGUACCGCAAACCGACACAGGUAGGUGGGGUGAAUAUCCUAAGGCGCUCGAGAGAACUCUCGCUAAGGAACUCGGCAAUUUAACUCCGUAACUUCGGAAAAAGGAGUGCCCCUUGGGGUGAAGUGAUUUACUCAUGAAGCUCAGGGGGGCCGCAGACAAAUGGCUCUGGCGACUGUUUAUCAAAAACACAGGUCUGUGCAAAGGCGGAUAAGCCGACGUAUACAGACUGACGCCUGCCCACUGCCGGAAGGUCAAAGGGAGCGGUUAGCCGCAAGGCGAAGCUGCGAACUGAAGCCCCGGUGAAGGGCGGCCGUAACUAUGACGGUCCUAAGGUAGCGAAGUUCCUUGUCGGGUAAGUUCCGACCCGCAUGAAUGGCGUAACGACUGGAGCACUGUCUCGGCGAGAGACUCGGCGAAACUGCAGUCGUGGUGAAGAUACCACGUACCCGUGCCAGGACGAAAAGACCCCGUGAACCUUUACUGUAGCCUAGUACUGGGUUCUGGCUUGAUAUGUGUAGCAUAGGUGGGAGACGUUGAGGCGGUUGCGCUAGCUUCCGCGGAGUCGUCAGUGAAAUACCACCCUUAUCCUGCUAGAAUUCUAACCGAUACCCGUGAAGCCGGGAUUGGGACAGUGCUUGGUGGGCAGUUUGGCUGGGGCGGUCUCCUCCCAAAGAGUAACGGAGGAGUCCAAAGGUACCCUCAACGCGGUUGGCAAUCGCGUGCAGAGCGUAAAGGUACAAGGGUGCUUGACUGCGAGACCCAUAGGUCGAGCAGGUGCGAAAGCAGGGCUUAGUGAUCCGGCGGUCCCGUGUGGAAGGGCCGUCGCUCAUCAGACAAAAGGUACUCCGGGGAUAACAGGCUGAUCACGCCCAAGAGUCCAUAUCGACGGCGUGGUUUGGCACCUCGAUGUCGGCUCAUCGCAUCCUGGGGCUGAAGAAGGUCCCAAGGGUUUGGCUGUUCGCCAAUGAAAGCGGUACGCGAGCUGGGUUCAGACCGUCGUGAGACAGGUCGGUCUCUAUCCGGCAUGGGUGCAGGAGAUUUGAGGGGGUUUGCCCUUAGUACGAGAGGAUUGGGGCGGACGAACCUCUGGUGUACCAGUUGUCGCGCUCGCGGCAGUGCUGGGUAGCUAAGUUCGGAACGGAUAAACGCUGAAAGCAUCUAAGCGUGAAACCCUCCCCGAAACCAAAUCUCCCUACGAGGCCCCUGGAAGACCACCAGGUUGAUAGGCCGGAGGUGUAAGCACAGCAAUGUGUUCAGCUCACCGGUACUAAUAGGCCCAUCGGCUUGACUAC
rnacentral:rRNA from 1 species